UACGUAGGGGGCAAGCGUUGUCCGGAAUUAUUGGGCGUAAAGCGCGUGUAGGCGGCUCGGUAAGUCUGCUGUGAAAGUCCAGGGCUCAACCCUGGAAUGCCGGUGGAAACUGUCGAGCUAGAGUCCGGAAGAGGCGAGUGGAAUUCCUGGUGUAGCGGUGAAAUGCGCAGAUAUCAGGAGGAACACCAAUGGCGAAGGCAGCUCGCUGGGACGGUACUGACGCUGAGACGCGAAAGCGUGGGGAGCAAACAGG
rnacentral:rRNA from 1 species